GACGAACGCUGGCGGCGUGCUUAACACAUGCAAGUCGAACGAAGUGGCGAACGGGUGAGUAACGCGUAAUCAACCUGCCCUUCAGAGGGGGACAACAGUUGGAAACGACUGCUAAUACCGCAUACGGAAGGAGGGGAUUGCGUCGGAUUAGCUCGUUGGGGGGGUAACGGCCCACCAAGGCGAUGAUCAGUAGCCGGUCUGAGAGGAUGAACGGCCACAUUGGGACUGGGGCACGGCCCAGACUUCUACGGGAGGCAGCCGUGGGGGAUCUUCCGAAAUGGACGAAAGUCUGACGGAGCAACGCCGCGUGAGUGAUGACGGCCUUCGGGUUGUAAAGGUCUGUUAAUCGGGACGCGGUACCGGAAUAGAAAGCCACGGCUAACUACGUGCCAGCCGCCGCGGUAAUAC
rnacentral:rRNA from 1 species